rnacentral:rRNA from 1 species
GGUGAACGCUGGCGGCGUGCCUAAUACAUGCAAGUCGAGCGAACAGACGAGGAGCUUGCUCCUCUGACGUUAGCGGCGGACGGGUGAGUAACACGUGGAUAACCUACCUAUAAGACUGGGAUAACUUCGGGAAACCGGAGCUAAUACCGGAUAAUAUAUUGAACCGCAUGGUUCAAUAGUGAAAGACGGUUUUGCUGUCACUUAUAGAUGGAUCCGCGCCGCAUUAGCAAGUUGGUAAGGUAACGGCUUACCAAGGCAACGAUGCGUAGCCGACCUGAGAGGGUGAUCGGCCACACUGGAACUGAGACACGGUCCAGACUCCUACGGGAGGCAGCAGUAGGGAAUCUUCCGCAAUGGGCGAAAGCCUGACGGAGCAACGCCGCGUGAGUGAUGAAGGUCUUCGGAUCGUAAAACUCUGUUAUUAGGGAAGAACAAAUGUGUAAGUAACUAUGCACGUCUUGACGGUACCUAAUCAGAAAGCCACGGCUAACUACGUG